rnacentral:sRNA from 1 species
UGAUCCUAUUCUUUUUCACUAUCAAAAUCAAAUAUUUCUAUUUUCUCCACGUAUGUGGAGG